rnacentral:tRNA from 1 species
GCCGGCGUAGCUCAGCAGGUAGAGCGCGUCCUUGGUAAGGACGAGGUCACCGGUUCAAGUCCGGUCGUCGGCU